CUUUUAACAGCUAGAAAACAAACCUGCUAUGUAACUUGAACAAAUUCUGACACUUUGCAGUUUUGGAAAAAAAUAUAAUUAUCUUAUAUCAGAGCAUAUUCAAUCAUAGAGUUACAAAAAGAAAAAUAUUAAUCGUAAAAAGUAAUGUUUGCAAUAAAUAGAGACGGAAUUACUAUGUACAUAUGUAUGAAAAAAUUUCUAAUAUAAUUCUGGCUGUAUAACUUUGCUAGUACAUAUAUUAUUUUAAAGUGACAAGUAAUUAAAUAAACGGUGCUUCUUCUAAAAGCGUUAACAUGGACCCGAAUACGAUGAAACGCAGUUUUAAACAGGACGACAAUGCUUGCGGUUCUUUGCGUGGUAAGAAAAUGAAAGCUCAGUUCUACGGAAUUCUACUGUUUUUGCUUGCUGUGGCUUUGUUUAUUGUUUGUUGUAGUUAUUUUUGCCCAAAAUUAGGUGAUAAGCUAAUUGGUGUAAUAAUAACGCUGUUUUGAAAACUGGCCGCAUUAAAUAAACGCAUAAAUUGUACAAAACGUAACUUUUUCCAAUUUACUGAAGUGAAAAUCGUAUCCUGCCUCAUUAAAAUGUAUGAAAAAGCUGCAUCAUAUGUAUAAAUAAAAUUACAAUUCAACACAAGAGAGUGACAUCAUUAAAAUUGCAUAAAUACUUCCUAUUAUUUUAGCUCUCUUUGUUUAUUUAUAUAGUUCAUACCAAAUGAUUGUAAAAACCAAUGAAAAGCAAUGAAAAUGAAAUGGAAGGGCUUAUUGUUGAAAUAUA